rnacentral:rRNA from 1 species
AAUCAACGCUGGCGGCGUGCCUCAGACAUGCAAGUCGAACGAUUAAAGCUCUCUUCGGAGAGUGUAUAGAGUGGCGCACGGGUGAGUAACACGUAAGUAAUCUACCCUCGGGUGGGGAAUAACAUUCGGAAACGAAUGCUAAUACCGCAUAAUGCAGCGGCUCCUAAUGGAGACAGUUGUCAAAGGAUUUAUUCGGCCCUGAGGAGGAGCUUGCGGCAGGAUAGCUAGUUGGUAAGGUAAUGGCUUACCAAGGCAACGAUCUGUAGCCGGUCUAAGAGGACGGUCGGUCACACUGACACU